rnacentral:snoRNA from 1 species
UUGAAACUAUUAAUAGAAAGAGCAAUGGCUGCAAAUAGCAGCUUCCUUGGUAGUGUAUGCAGCAAGUUUCUUGUAUGGAUUGCUCCAAGAGACCUUGGAGACAGUC